rnacentral:rRNA from 1 species
AGGCAAAUCCGCUUUGAUAAUGCUGGGAUGUGAUGGGGAGCGAAAUUUAGUAGCGAAGUAGCUGAUUUCACACUGUCAAGAAAAGUCUCUAUCGAGGUUAAAGGUACCCGUACCGCAAACCGACACAGGUGGGUGAGGAGAGUAUCCUAAGGCCAGCGAGAGAACUGUUGUUAAGGAACUCGGCAAAAUGACCCCGUAACUUAGGGAUAAGGGGUGCCACCAUCAGGUGGCCGCAGAGAAUAGGCCCAAGCGACUGUUUACCAAAAACAUAGGUUUCUGCUAAGUCGCAAGACGAUGUAUAGGAGCUGACGCCUGCCCGGUGCUGGAAGGUUAAGGGGAUCUGUUAGAGUAAUCGAAGCAGUGAACUUAAGCCCCAGUAAACGGCGGCCGUAACUAUAACGGUCCUAAGGUAGCGAAAUUCCUUGUCGGGUAAGUUCCGACCCGCACGAAAGGCGUAACGAUUUGGGCACUGUCUCAACAACAGACUCGGUGAAAUUGUAAUUCCGGUGAAGAUGCCGGAUACCUGCGACAGGACGGAAAGACCCCAUGGAGCUUUACUGUAGCUUGACAUUGGGUCUUGGUACUACAUGUACAGGAUAGGUGGGAGGCUUUGAAACCAGGACGCCAGUUUUGGCGGAGCCAUCCUUGGGAUACCACCCUUGUAGUACUGGGACUCUAACCAUAGGCCAUGAAUCUGGUCUUGGGACACUGUCAGGUGGGCAGUUUGACUGGGGCGGUCGCCUCCCAAAAGGUAACGGAGGCGCUCAAAGGUUCUCUCAGUACGGUCGGAAAUCGUACGUAGAGUGUAAAGGCAAAAGAGAGCUUGAUUGCAAGACAUACAGGUCGAGCAAGGAUGAAAAUCGGACUUAGUGAUCCGGUGGUUCUGCGUGGAAGGGCCAUCGCUCAACGGAUAAAAGCUACCCUGGGGAUAACAGGCUUAUCUCCCCCAAGAGUCCACAUCGACGGGGAGGUUUGGCACCUCGAUGUCGGCUCAUCACAUCCUGGGGCUGUAGUAGGUCCCAAGGGUUGGGCUGUUCGCCCAUUAAAGUGGUACGCGAGCUGGGUUCAGAACGUCGUGAGACAGUUCGGUCCCUAUCCGUCGCAGGCGUAGGAAAUUUGAGAAGACCUGUCCUUAGUACGAGAGGACCGGGAUGGACG